rnacentral:rRNA from 2 species
GCGUGAGUGAUGAAGGUUUUCGGAUCGUAAAGCUCUGUUGUUAGGGAAGAACAAGUACCGUUCGAAUAGGGCGGUACCUUGACGGUACCUAACCAGAAAGCCACGGCUAACUACGUGCCAGCAGCCGCGGUAAUACGUAGGUGGCAAGCGUUGUCCGGAAUUAUUGGGCGUAAAGGGCUCGCAGGCGGUUUCUUAAGUCUGAUGUGAAAGCCCCCGGCUCAACCGGGGAGGGUCAUUGGAAACUGGGGAACUUGAGUGCAGAAGAGGAGAGUGGAAUUCCACGUGUAGCGGUGAAAUGCGUAGAGAUGUGGAGGAACACCAGUGGCGAAGGCGACUCUCUGGUCUGUAACUGACGCUGAGGAGCGAAAGCGUGGGGAGCGAACAGGAUUAGAUACCCUGGUAGUCCACGCCGUAAACGAUGAGUGCUAAGUGUUAGGGGGUUUCCGCCCCUUAGUGCUGCAGCUAACGCAUUAAGCACUCCGCCUGGGGAGUACGGUCGCAAGACUGAAACUCAAAGGAAUUGACGGGGGCCCGCACAAGCGGUGGAGCAUGUGGUUUAAUUCGAAGCAACGCGAAGAACCUUACCAGGUCUUGACAUCCUCUGACAAUCCUAGAGAUAGGACGUCCCCUUCGGGGGCAGAGUGACAGGUGGUGCAUGGUUGUCGUCAGCUCGUGUCGUGAGAUGUUGGGUUAAGUCCCGCAACGAGCGCAACCCUUGAUCUUAGUUGCCAGCAUUCAGUUGGGCACUCUAAGGUGACUGCCGGUGACAAACCGGAGGAAGGUGGGGAUGACGUCAAAUCAUCAUGCCCCUUAUGACCUGGGCUACACACGUGCUACAAUGGACAGAACAAAGGGCAGCGAAACCGCGAGGUUAAGCCAAUCCCACAAAUCUG